UUAAGAAACUAUAUUAACAGGCUAGGGGUGCAUAGGCAUUGACGGGGUAUUGAAAGAUGAAGUUUGGGCGAUGAAAUUGCUGGCGAAAGCCCAAUCUCAGAAUCUUGCACCCGGGUCCGGAUCUUCCCCAAACGUAACUCCAAGAACCAAUUCAAAUCAAAAGCACAAAGCAAAUGACCUUCGUCCGGAUUCAUCUCGAGAAACUCCUUGUGACCUCGCGUUCAUGAUUCCACGUUACUCCCAUGGCCGCGCAAGGAAGUUUUAAGAUCCAAACUUGGAUUCGUCUGCUACCGCGCCAACCACACACAUAAUCAAAAAUGAAAGAUUCAAGAAGUCGAUUUCUCCUCACGACCGAAUUCGCGUGAAAAUCCAACGCCAAAAAGCAAUCGAAACCGAAGUUAGGUUCUUUAUGCUUGUUCUUGCACGCGAGUAUGAGUUGUUGGAUCCGAUUUGGGACGAAGAAGGCAAGAAUAUUCUUCGACGGUGGGGUUUCAGUGAAGAGCCUCGAAGGAAAUCUUUGUGUUGUCGAUUCCGAUUCAACGGGGAAUCGGUUCAAUAUCCAACCGUAAUCGACGUGCCGAAUAGAAGGCAAUGAAAGAAGAAAGAAAAAGGAAGACCUACCUUCUCUAACCGAGACUCCAGGUGAUGUGUUUUAUUCUUGAUCCUCUCCUUCGACUACACACCUGUGUGAAGAUACAUGUUGUCUUCUUCGUAUGUUUCUCGAUUCCGCUUCUCCUUCUGCUGUGCUGUUUUCUUUUUGUUGUGAAGUUUGAGAAGAGAUUAGAGAGUUGGUUGAGGAUUCAGGAAGUGAUCCUUGAGAGGCGAUGAAGGGUCGUUUGGAGAUGGUUAACGGUUGUUUUUAAAGGAGAUUAGGGAUGUAGCCGGUUGAAGGUUUUAGAGAAGGGGUUCCAUUGAAGAAGCUGGGUUCUCGUCUUCUGGUUUUCAGUUUUACAGGGUGGUUUUCUGGACUUUUUUGUUUACAGGUUAUGGGAUAGGUUGAAGGAGGGUCCGGUUGGAGUGGAAGAUUGAGGUUAUCAACUGGUUCGUUUCCCGAAGUUGGAGAAAGGUGAUUGUUUUAUGUGAAUGGAAGCUGGUAGGAGAGGAAGUGAAAAAUGUGAGGUUGAAGCAGUUAGUUGGAAUCUGCUAUGUAUUCAGUUUAUUCGGUUGGAGGUUUUUAUUUUCAGUUUUCAAUUCUGUUACAGGUUAGUUUUGAGAGGUUAGAAAGUUGGUUGGGAAGUUAGAGUCUGGGAGCUUCUAUCAGGGGUUCUGUUAACAUUUGUGAGUUUGUUAUUUCUGUUUUUGCGAAAUUGUUUUGGUUGCCGGUUUUUGAGGGAGUUCGGUUAGUUUUAUGGAGGAGAUUCGAGUGGAAGGUUGCUCGAUUGCCAAUCCCCUUAUUCGUUUGGGAGAGUGCUGUUAAAUAGUUCUGUUGUGAUGAAUUUGUUAUGAAAAUUUUGUGGAGGUUAUAGAAGUUAGUUGGAGAAUGGAGAGGCUUCGAAGGAGGAGUUUUCUCUGUGAGGUGAUUUGUUGAUUUCUGAUUAGGAGAGGCUUUUUUUUAAAACAAUUUUGUGUAUUGGUUAACAGGUUUUUUCAACAAUUGAGAAUUUCUUGACAGUUAUCGGAACUCGGUUUUGGUUAGAGUGAAGCUUCCGGUUCCGGUUAUCGGUUGAUGUCAGUUGGAAGUUUUGGAAGGUUAUUUUCAGGUUUUGUUCUUAAUAUUCCAUAGUUUGUUUUCUCCUAUCAGGAUCUCCUUUUUUUUGUUGAUUUCCUGCAGAGUUUCCAUUGGUUUUGAUGAAGGAUUGAAGGAGAGAGUUUCAAUGGUUUGAAGGUUGCCAGGUUGAAGGUCGAAUGAAGGUUUUUUAAGUGGUUUUGUUAGUUGUGAAUUGAGUUACAACAUGUAUUGAAACGAGUUGGUAUUUUAUAUGUUAGAUGCUGAGUCAUGCUGUUAGGAUCGGAUGCCAUAUGCGCACUUGGACUUGUUAUAAAAUCAUAGAGUUGCUAUGCUUAUGGAACUGGUGUGGUGAACCAUAUGCCUUGUGGAACAUGCUAAUGGAAUAUUGAAUUGUAUUGAUUGUUAUGCUGUGAUUGGGUAUAGUUUAAAUGUAUUAAAAAUGGUUGUAAUUUUAUUGUAGUGAAUUGGUUUGAAAAAAUGUAAUUUGAAUUGGUAUUUGGAUGUAAAUGCAUCAUGGUUUUCAAAUUGUAAUUGCAAAUGGAUUUGAAUAUGGAUGUAUGGAAUUUGAUGGUUAAAUGAGAAUGUAUGGGAUUUGUACGGUUA